AUUCCACGCGCGGUACAGACGUGGGUCAUAAUUUCGCAAGAAAUAAAAAUAAUUAUUAAGUAAAAACAUCCAGAAUUUUAGAUUUCGCUGCGUCGACCGAGAUGUCGUCGAGAACCUUCUACAAAAGCGGCGCCAGGGAGGGGCGGAGUUUUAUUACAGAUGCUACUAUGCUGGCAGUGUGAUAGUUAUUGUAGACUAUUCAAAGAGUUUCUUGAUUGUUAACUUCGGUACAAAUACAUACAUUGUAUGUCAUGUGAAUACAAUGUAUGUGGCACCGAAAAUAUUUCAAUAAAGACCUAAAACUUUA